UACGAGGGGGGCGAGCGUUGUUCGGAAUUAUUGGGCGUAAAGGGUGCGUAGGCGGUUUGGUAAGUCUGGUGUGAAAUCUCCCGGCUUAACUGGGAGGGUGCGCCGAAAACUGCGGGGCUGGAGUGUGGGAGAGGUAAGCGGAAUUCCUGGUGUAGCGGUGAAAUGCGUAGAUAUCAGGAGGAACACCGGCGGUGUAGACGGCUUACUGGACCAUGACUGACGCUGAGGCACGAAAGCGUGGGGAGCAAACAGG
rnacentral:rRNA from 1 species